rnacentral:rRNA from 1 species
GACAGAGGUGCCAAGCGUUAGGCGGAAUAACUGGGCUUAAAGGGAGCGUAGGCGGGCUAACAAGUCUGGGGUGAAAUCCCGCGGCUCAACCGUGGAACUGCCUUAGAUACUGUCGGCCUCGAGGGAGAUAGGGGCAUGCGGAACUAACGGUGGAGCGGUGAAAUGCGUUGAUAUCGUUAGGAACUCCGGUGGCGAAAGCGGCGUGCUGGAUCUCUUCUGACGCUGAGGCUCGAAAGCUAGGGGAGCAAACGGG